rnacentral:rRNA from 1 species
UACAGAGGGUGCGAGCGUUAAUCGGAAUUACUGGGCGUAAAGCGCGCGUAGGCGGCUUUGCAAGUCGGGUGUGAAAUCCCCAGGCUUAACCUGGGAACUGCAUUCGAGACUGCAUUGCUAGAGUAUGGGAGAGGGAAGUGGAAUUUCCGGUGUAGCGGUGAAAUGCGUAGAUAUCUGGAGGAACACCGGUGGCGAAGGCGGCAUCCUGGACCAUUACUGACGCUGAUGAGCGAAAGCCAGGGGAGCAAACGGG